rnacentral:rRNA from 1 species
AUUGAACGCUGGCGGCAGGCCUAACACAUGCAAGUCGAGCGAGCAGCGGACGGGUGAGUAAUUUAUGAGCAACUGCCUGAUGUACGGAGAUAACUACUGUAAACGUUAGCUAAUACCGCAUACCACCAUUUGUGCCCACGUGGGAUUAUCUAGUAGGUGGGGUAAUGGCUAACCUAGGCGACGAUCCCUAGCUGGUCUGAGAGGAUGACCUGCCACACUGGAACUGAGACACGGUCCAGACUCCUACGGGAGGCAGCAGUGGGGAAUAUUGAACAAUGGGCGAAAGCCUGAUGCAGCCAUGCCGCGUGUGUGAAGAAGGCCUUCGGGUUGUAAAGCACUUUCAGCGAGGAGGCGUUACUCGCAGAAGAAGCACCGGCUAACUCCGUGCCAGCAGCCGCGGUAAUAC